AUUGAACGCUGGCGGCAGGCCUAACACAUGCAAGUCGAACGAGUGGCGGACGGGUGAGUAAUGUCUGGGAAACUGCCUGAUGGAGGGGGAUAACUACUGGAAACGGUCGCUAAUCCCGCAUACACUCCGCUGUUCCCAGAUGGGAUUAGCUAGUGGGUGGGGUAACGGCUCACCAAGGCGGCGAUCCCUAGCUGGUCGGAGAGGAUGACCAGCCACACUGGAACUGAGACACGGUCCAGACUCCUACGGGAGGCAGCAGUGGGGAAUAUUGCACAAUGGGCGCAAGCCUGAUGCAGCCAUGCCGCGUGUGUGAAGAAGGCCUUCGGGUUGUAAAGCACUUUCAGCGGGGAGGCGUUACCCGAAGAAGAAGCACCGGCUAACUCCGUGCCAGCAGCCGCGGUAAUAG
rnacentral:rRNA from 1 species